GCAUUGGUGGUUCAGUGGUAGAGUUCUCACUUUCAUGCAGAAGACCUGGGUUCCAGUGCCAGCCAAUGCG
rnacentral:tRNA from 1 species